UACAGAGGUCCCGAGCGUUUGUUCGGAUUCACUGGGCGUAAAGGGUGCGUAGGUGGUGAGGUAAGUCGGAUGUGAAAAUCUCCGGGCUCAACCCGGAAAUGGCAUUGGAAACUACCUUGCUGGAGGAUUUGAGGGGGGGAUUGGAAUACUUGGUGUAGCAGUGAAAUGCGUAGAUAUCAAGUGGAACACCAGUGGCGAAGGCGAAUCCCUGGAAAAUACCUGACACUGAGGCACGAAAGCUAGGGGAGCAAACAGG
rnacentral:rRNA from 1 species